rnacentral:rRNA from 1 species
AACAUUGGAUAGCGGCGGACGGGUGAGUAACGCGUGGGCAACCUGCCCUACAGAGGGGGAUAACAGUGCGAAAGCACUACUAAUACCGCAUGAUAUUGUCGAAUCGCAUGGUUUGACAAUCAAAGGAGAAAUCCGCUGUAGGAUGGGCCCGCGUCUGAUUAGCUAGUUGGUGAGGUAAGAGCUCACCAAGGCGACGAUCAGUAGCCGAUCUGAGAGGAUGAACGGCCACACUGGAACUGAGACACGGUCCAGACUCCUACGGGAGGCAGCAGUGGGGAAUAUUGCACAAUGGGCGAAAGCCUGAUGCAGCAACGCCGCGUGGAGGACGAAUGCCUUCGGGUUGUAAACUCCUUUGAUGAGGGACGAAUAAAUGACGGUACCUCAAAAACAAGCCACGGCUAACUACGUGCCAGCAGCCGCGGUAAUACGUAUGUGGCAAGCGUUGUCCGGAAUUAUUGGGCGUAAAGGGCGCGUAGCGGUUUCCUAAGUCAGAUGUGAAAACCCCGGGCUUAACCUGGGACCUGCAUUUGAAACUGGGAGACUAGAGUACAGGAGAGGUAAGUGGAAUUCCUAGUGUAGCGGUGAAAUGCGUAGAUAUAGAGACCACCAGUGGCGAGCCACUACUGAACUGUACUGACGCUGAGGCGCGAAAGCGUGGGGAGCAA